rnacentral:rRNA from 1 species
UACGUAGGGGGCUAGCGUUGUCCGGAUUUAUUGGGCGUAAAGAGCGUGUAGGCGGCCAGCUAGGUCUGCUGUGAAAACUCGAGGCUCAACCUCGAGAUGUCGGCGGAAACCAUCUGGCUAGAGUCCGGAAGAGGAAAGUGGAAUUCCUGGUGUAGCGGUGAAAUGCGCAGAUAUCAGGAAGAACACCCGUGGCGAAGGCGGCAUUCUGGGACGGUACUGACGCUGAGGCGCGAAAGCUAGGGGAGCAAACGGG